AAUUUUGGACAAUGGGGGGAACCCUGAUCCAGCCAUCACGCGUGUGCGAUGAAGGCCUUCGGGGUGUAAAGCACUUUUGGCAGGGAAGAAAAGGCUCGGGUUCAUACCCGGUGCUGCUGUCGGUACCUGCAGAAUAAGCACCGGCUACCUACGUGCCAGCAGCCGCGGUAAUACGUAGGGUGCAAGCGUUAAUCGGAAUUACUGGGCGUAAAGCGUGCGCAGGCGGUUUGGCAAGAAGGAUGUGAAAUCCCAGGGCUUAACCUUGGAACUGCAUUCUUAACUGCCAGGCUAGAGUAUGUCAGAGGGGGGUAGAAUUCCGCGUGUAGCAGUGAAAUGCGUAGAGAUGCGGAGGAAUACCGAUGGCGAAGGCAGCCCCCUGGGAUAAUACUGACGCUCAUGCACGAAAGCGUGGGGAGCAAAC
rnacentral:rRNA from 1 species